UACGUAGGUGGCAAGCGUUGUCCGGAUUUACUGGGCGUAAAGAGCGUGUAGGCGGCCAAACAGGUCCGUUGUGAAAACUGGAGGCUUAACCUCCAGACGUCGACGGAAACCGUGUGGCUAGAGUCCGGAAGAGGAGAGUGGAAUUCCUGGUGUAGCGGUGAAAUGCGCAGAUAUCAGGAAGAACACCAAUGGCGAAGGCAGCUCUCUGGGACGGUACUGACGCUGAGACGCGAAAGCGUGGGGAGCGAACAGG
rnacentral:rRNA from 1 species